rnacentral:misc_RNA from 1 species
UCAAACUUGGUCAUUUAGAGGAAGUAAAAGUCGUAACAAGGUUUCCGUAGGUGAACCUGCGGAAGGAUCAUUACUGAGUGCGGGCCCUCUGGGUCCAACCUCCCACCCGUGUAUACCGUACCUUGUUGCUUCGACAGGCCCGCCGUGAGGCCGCUGGGAGGCACCCUGCCCCCGAGCCCGCGCCUGUCGAAGACACCCUGGAACACUGUCUGAAGAUUGCCGUCUGAGCGAACAGCACAAAUUAGUUAAAACUUUCAACAACGGAUCUCUUGGUUCCGGCAUCGAUGAAGAACGCAGC